AACGCACCUUGCGCCCUUUGGCUAUUCCGAAGGGCAUGCCUGUUUGAGUAUCAUGAACACCUCAACCCUCAUGGUUUACCAUGGUGGGCUUGGACUUUGGGGGUCUUGCUGGAUUGUAGUCAGCUCCCCUUAAAUGAAUCAGCUUGCCAGUGUCUGGUGGCAUCACAGGUGUGAUAAUUAUCUACGCUUGUGGUUUUACAUCAGGUAACCUUCAGAGAUGGGGGUUCACUGGGGCUCACAAAAGGUCUCUCCUCGGUGAGGAUGACUCUUUGAAUGUUUGAUCUCAAAUCAGGUAGGACUACCCGCUGAACUUAA
rnacentral:misc_RNA from 1 species